UUGCAGUUGCACCCGGGCCGGUUUGCACUCGGACAUUGCAGGGCCGGUUGCUGCAGUUGCAGCCGGUUUGGAGGAGUCGUGUGCAGGGGAGGGGAGCGUGCUGGACAUCCCUCUUCUGCUAUAAAUAACCGCCCCCCACCAGCCGGCCUUGGGAUCCUCUUGACCUGACAGCCCAGAGACCUUAGGCCAUGGACCCGCAGACCUGCAACUGUGCCAACGGCUGUUGCUCGUGCCGUCCAGCUGAAUGUACCAAAGGUGCCAAAGGGUGUGUCUGCAAAGGAGCAGAGACCGAGAAGUGCGACUGCAGCCACUAACCUGCUGUUUUUUCCGCCUUGGUGUUGUAAAUGCCAUUUGUACAAAAUGUCUUUCAUGCAGCAGUGGCCUUAUAUGUUUUCAUAAACGUGGUGACGUGCAAGAAGAGAAUAAACCCAAUGAACAAAUGAAA